ensembl:snoRNA small nucleolar RNA, C/D box 19C
AAGAAAUGAAGACGCUAAGAUGGGUCUUAGAGUUAAAGUGAAGACGAUCAGAUCCAACUCUGAUCUUGCUCUAAAU